ACCUCUUAACUGCUCCCUUUAUGAUAAGGACAUAGGGUAUGUAUCAGAGAAGAAAUCUUGCUGUCAGUUCCACGAAUCAAGUUACAGGAGCUCCUCUGGCUUUACACUGACAAGGCAUAAAUACAGCCCCUUUGAAUUAUUUUUUUUUUGUUUGCAAGAUCGGGCAUCUGGGUUUCCUGCUACCAUUUCCUCUGUCCCCUCCCAGAGAGCCCAGGGCUGCUCUGCUCUGAGGAACACCAGCCUCAAUGUCCAAAUGUCCCUGCUGGAGGUGUGAUCAUUGAAGUCAGCAGGACUCAGGGACGGUGAGGCUGAUACUCCCAGGACUGAUAUUGCCAACUCACAGAGCCAACAAGCCUCUUUUGGAAGCUCCACAAUACUCUGCUUAGGAAUGCUGAACCAAAUGGGAAUACACUUCCUGACCUGGAAAGUGUUUGUGGUCUUUCAUAACACUUUGUUCUCUGCACUUGAUAAAUCCACAUUUUUUUCCCCAGAAGUUUUUUUUUUUUUUUUUUUUUUUUUUUUUUUUUUUUUUAAACCCGCAACACUUCGAAAAUGUCAAAUUCCUGCGGCAGCCCAGAAGACGCGGGGAGGCAGCGAGGCAGAGAUGGCAAGAUAAGGAGGGAGGAUGGGGAUGUGGAUGAUUGCCAGCCGGAGGGAAAGAGGCUGAGGCUGGGCAGCGAAGGAGGGAAGGAGCCAGGAGCAGCAGACGCGGUGAUGCCUUGCUCAGGCAGAGAAGAGCCCGUGCCCGGAGCAGGAGGCGAAGGCAAAAGUUUUGAGAGGGAUUUUAUUAUAUCCUGAAAUGAAGCAUCCUUCUGAAUUAGUCAAGACCCAAAGUACCAUGGAAGUGCCUAUAACUGAACUUGCAAAAAGGAGG
rnacentral:lncRNA from 12 species